CCUCCCUAACUCAGCUCCUCCCAGGGGUAUAAGUAGCAGAGAGGGAGGGGAGAAGGUGUGGAGUGGGUUUAACACAGCUGAGUCCUGUUUUCACCAAUCACAUCAGCUCCUCUCCUCACCUUUAAAUCCGCCACCGGCGAGGGCUAUUACAAUUUUCGUGAAGUAGUCGAAGAGAUUAAGAGAUGGCUGAAGACAGCAAUGCCACACAAUGGUGACAGAAGGCAGCCCCUCAACAAGUGUCACUGUAAGCGCUGUGGAGAGAGGACACUCUCAAAUAAGCACAGAGGGAUUUGGUGUGUGUAAGCUUGUACCCACUGGUAAGACAAACAUCCUUUUCCACAAAUAAAGACACUAAUAUAAAGUUUCAUAUAUUUAAAUCCACGUGACAAAGGCGGAUUGUGCGCACAGAUCACAACAUAAACAAAUUCCAACAAUGGCAUUAAAACCAAAAUCACCUGUGCAUAAAGGAAGCAUCGUGCUCUGUGGACUCGCUCCGUCAGACUACGAAAAUACCAAACUGGCUGUGCAACCGGCUCUGCCAGAUGAAAAUACCACUGCGUGGGGUGCGCCACCCUCAUCCGUGCCGCGGGCAGGCACGAAAAUAGAGCCCUUUCUCUUAAUUGCUAGUAGGUAAUACCUGAUAAUAACUAAAAAAAGUUAAUUAAUAUCAGUUAGUAACUUUUACUCAUCCAGAUAAGGUAAGAUUUACCUCCCAAAAAGACUUUCAGAUGGUAAUCAUUUCAAUAUUUUUAACAUAUAAAAUCCUACCAAGAAACAAAACAGAGUAAAGUGCAAGAGAGAAACACACAUUUCAAGAAAUGAACCCAUUUUAUCAUUCACAAAGAUAACUGCUUCAAAUGCUGCUUUUGGAUAAUUGACUAAUACACACAUGCAAACUCUACAAGGUCGUUCCUGUGCAUGUACAGUAUCAAACAUCUGGAUAGGGAUAGAACAGAUGAACACCAACAAAGUUCGUUUAGGUGCUUGCUGUCACUCUCAAAGAUAGUAUGAGAAAAAAGAAACAAACAAAUGGGGAGGGGAAGAGGAGGGUAUAGAGGUGGAGAUCAAAUUUCUUUAGGUUACACUCAGUGGUAUUGACCAGACUGGCCACUUUCUAUCAGUGUUCCUUUUCUGUCAAUCUGAGUAAAUCAGAGAGCAAUGGAAUGGGCUGAAAGAGGCUGUGACAUGUAUCCAUCUGUACAUACAUAUUGAUAUAUUUGUGUGUGUGGGUGUGUCUGUGUGUGGAGCAAAGGAGGUGUAGUAUCUGAGGUAUUUGAGUGACACAGCUCCACCACUCUAAAGGCUGACAUGACUGGCUAAAGAAACUCAUCCUAACAGGAGGGAAGAGUAGAAAAAUAAAAAACUACACUCCAUCACAACUCCAUCUAGCUAUGUCCAGACAAAACAUCCUCUAAGAACAAGAGAGAAAAUGUGUGUCAAUUGCAUGAGCUUAUUUUUGAGGCUGUGGACCUUCUUCAGUAGUUUUGCUCCUUCAAAUGUGUUCUUCAGCUGCUUUUGAUAUUUGAGGUACAGGGCAUAUAUCAGUCCCAUCAGCAGUACACACUCCUUUGUUCAGUUCCCACAUCCUUCCAUCACUCAAAUUUUUGAGCGUCCCGCUCUUUCUGAUUGUAAACUAAGACGUUUUCCACCUCCCCGACCUGACUGGUUGUAAGGCAGAUGCUGCUCCCUCAUGAUGUAAGGUACGCUCCACGUCCUCAAAUAACGUUCACAAGCCCAAACAAAGUUAGCAUGCUACAGUAUCGGACAGUAGAACGCAUCCAGAAAAUACAGAAAAUUUUCGGAAUCCUACUUUGGCCACGACUGCCAACACAAGCAAGAAAUAAAGGAAAUACCGGUGACUCUGGCGGAAUAAUGGGUGCUUAAAACAGAGGUAGACCACCCGGACAAGAGCUAAAAAGCUGGGUCAACAUCAAUGAAGCAUAAAUGUUCGAGAUCUUGGUGACCCUGUAACCUUUCUGCUGGACCUUAGAGGGUAGACAUCUGUUGACUAUUGCAUCCUAAUUGUUUUAUUGCCUAGGAGAGCUCAUCUCGCCUCUAGUAAUGAUGUAGCCAGAGUCAUAGAAUGGACUAUAAGAAUGGGCUGCAACCAUUGCUCAGUGGGCACAACCAUGGGGCUGCUUGACUGCCAUGUGGUUCUGUAUUGUGUCCCCUCUUUAUAUCUCUCUAUAGAGAAUAAAAUCAUUGCACAUGAUAAUUCUUUGGUCUUGUUUUCUCACUCUCCCAGGCAGGCUAAAUUUUCUGCAACAAAAUACAUCUCAGUUUAUCUUGCAGAGUUAAGGAUAGCAGAGGGGAGUGGACAGAAGACGGAAGGAGAAGGGGAGAAGAGGGAUACCAGACAAGAGCUGAGUAGAGAGCACAGAACCCCCCCCCCCCCCAAUAGUCCAUAUGCCGAGAAGAGAAGAAAGAGAAGAUAGCAGUGCAGAGGAGAGGAGAUAGGGAGGAAAAGAGAGGAGAGAGCAGAGGAGAGAAGAAAAGAGAGGAGAGGAGAAGAGAAGAAAGAGAGCAGAGAAGAGAAGAAAAGAGAGGAGAGGAGGCAGCAGCGCAGAGGAAGAGCAGAAGAAAGGAGAAGAGAUGACAGGAGAGAGCACAGCAGAGGAGAGGAGAAGAAAAGAGAGGAGAGUUGAGGAAGACAUGAGGAUCCCUUGCGUUAAUCAAUCAUGUGUUAUCAAUAUAAUAUACCAGGCAGUCAUGGACUAGAUCUUGUCUUUCACCAAGAUAGUCAAUGAGGUAGCAGACAACCGCAUCCCUUUUUUCCUCAAUGCUCUGUGUCUGGAGGGAGAUACAAUUUAGUGAAAAGAAAAUUAGUGUUACUCAGUGAUUUACAUACACUAAGACCGAAUCCCUUUAAAACUAAAACAUAUUUCACAGAUUGAUGUUAAACUAUGGUUUGUUAAGUUGGUAAGGAGCUCAACUUUGUGCACAGCAAAGCAAUUGUUUACAAAUUAUUUGGAAACAAGUGUUCUUUUCCAUUUUGUCUGCCAGGUCUUUCCCCUCCUCUAGCCACUCGCUCAGUUGCCCAAGUGACUUAGAUGAAUAACUAAUCAUAUAUCUAUAUGUCCAUCUAUCUUUCUUUCUAUUUAUCUAUAUGUUAAAACUUAAAAUAACAGAGUACAAAGAUAUAAAAUAAUACAGAAAAAAGAGGGGAAGAAGAGGGAGGGAGAAGAACACAAAAAUGACAAAAAAAUAAAAAGAGAGAAGAUAUGAGAAAUUGGCUCUUAGGAGAACUGUUGGUUUUUUGAUAUUUAGAGUAUCACUGGACACUUUGCUUGGUCCUGUCAUAUUUGCUUCCCGUCUGCCCUGCCCCUAUCCUGUCACACCUGCUCCCUGAUUGUUUCUUCCCACCUGUGCCUCAUCAGCCCUCAUUACCUCUUGUAUUUAACCCCAUGUCUCUCACUGUCUUGUUGCCAGUUCGUUGCACUUUAUAGUCCUUGUCCCAGCCUUUUUUUCCCCCACAGGCAUAGCUUCUUGUUUCCUGAAACUUGCUUGAUUUUAGAUCUUGCCUUUUUUGCCUGCCGAUUUUGAUACCUUUGCCUGUUUGGAUUGGUCUCUUGUGUACUGACCUCCGCAUGUUUCUGAUUAAACCCUUUUUGCCUCUGACCUCUGCUUCAGUGUCUGCCUUUGUGUCCUCCUGCUCUGAGCCGUUCUUUACAGGUCCUCAAAAAUCUAAAAAAUAGAGCACAUAUUAACUUUUCACAUAUAUAAACAAUUAAGAAAAUGCACAAUAGAAAUAGUAAACUAAAAUAGCGCUCAAACAGGACUAAGCUGUGUGAGAACUCAUCAAAAAUACCAGGACUCAAUAUUAACACGUCAGGAUUGGUCAUAGACUCAUCCAUUGCCAGUAAUGCCAAUUAAUCUGAACAUAUAGAGUUUUUACUAGUUGCAGGGGCCUGUCAUCUUAGAUAGGUGACAACCAACUUCAAAUCUUGCCUCAUAAUUCUACAAAAAAAAACUCUGUAUUCCUUUUAACUAGGAAUAAUAACUUCAGAUAAUAUAAGUAAAAUCUGCUGUGAUAGUUGAUAUGCUUUUGACCUGUGGUUUUCAAAAUAUUGGUAUCCAGAGUAAACUAGAGGGCAAGCUAAAACCCUAAGGCACACCAGUAAACAAUCCGUGUAAACCAGCUUUUAGCAUGUUACCUAAUCACUCUGUGCAUGUGUAUUUAUAAUACUACUACUACUACUACUAAUAAUAAUAAUAAUAAUAAUAAUAAUAAUAAUAAUAAUAACUUUAUUUGUAUAGCACUUUUUAAAAAACAGAUGUUUACAUAGUGCUUUGACAUGUAGUCGUAGAGCAUAUAGAAAAAUAAAAACAAAAAGCUCAGUAAAAACGGAAUUGAAAGCCAUUUUCAUGUCAUAAGGUACCCAGACAAUACAAGAACCAUGCAACUUAAAAUGAGAUAGUAAAUAUAAAAGGCAAUAUCAACACUGACAAUAAAAUAAUAACACUGAUAAUACUUAAAAUAAAAGUAAUGAUAAAAUAGAGCAAAAGAAAUAAGCAAGAGAUAAAACAAUAAAAGGUCUAAAAGGUUAAUUAAGAAACAAGUACAAAUAUAACAAAAGCUAAAAAGACAGUAAAACUGAAAUAAGAUGGAGGUAAAAGAGAUGACAGAUAAAAUAUAAAAGAUGGCAUCACAUAAAAGCAAGUCUGUAAAAGUGAGUUUUUAAAUUCAACUUAGAAGAAAUGACUGUCUCUGCACGCCUAAUCUCCUCUGGCAGGUCGUUCCAAAGUCAAGGAGCUCUAAUGGAGAAAGCUCUGUCACCUUUAGUUUUGAUUCACCACUUUGGAACGACCAAGAGGCCUUCGCCAGAGGAUCUGGAUCUGCCAGUUGGCUCAUAUGGUAUUAAAAGCUCUGAAAUGUAGCUCGGAGCAAGUCUUUUGAGUGCUUUAAAAGUAAUCAAUAAAACCUUAAAAUCAAUUCUAAAACUGACAGGAAGCCAGUGAAGGGAGGCUAAAAUUGGAGUGAUGUGAUGCUACGAAAACCAGUUAAAAGCCGAGCUGCUGCAUUCUGAACAAGUUGGAGAGUGAUUUCUUGAAAUUUCCUGAAGGAGAUUUUGUGCCAUCCAACUUUUAAUGUCACUUAGUCCAUGACAGUAGCUCGGCUUCUUGGGUCCUCAGGUCUCAAAGGAAGGUAUAUAAUAACCCGCUCGUAACUUUGGACGGAUUUCAUCUCAUCAGAGCUGACCGGAGCGUGAAGGAGAGUGGUAAGAAGAAAGGAGGCGGGAUAGCGGUGUAUGUGAAUGAGAGAUGGUGUAAUGCUGGGCACGUCAGUGUUAAAGAGCAGCGCUGCUCUAAGGACAUUGAGCUGCUGGCUGUGAGUUUGCGGCCAUAUUACCUGCCGAGGGACUUUUCACACGUCAUCGCGUUAACUGUUUACAUCCCCCCCUCAGCUGAUGCUGCUGCAGCCUGUGAACUCCUCCAUAGUGAAGUGUCCAAGCUACAAACAUCACACCCUCAGUCUCUGAUCAUCAUCUCUGGAGACUUUAAUCAUGUAUCGCUCUCCUCUACUCUCCCUACCUUCAGCCAGUACGUGGAAUGCCCAACAAGAGACAAUAAAACUUUGGACUUACUGUAUGCAAACACCAAGGAUGCAUACACCUCCUCCCCUCUCCCCCCGCUGGGCCGCUCAAAUCACAGCCUGGUGAGACUGCAGCUCAUUUACAUACCUAUGGUGAAGAAACAACCCCCCACCAUCAGGUAUGUUAAGAGGUGGUCUGAGGAGGCCACUGAGGCGCUGCAGGACUGUUUUGAGACCACAGACUGGGAUGUACUGUGCGGCCCACAUGGUGAUGACACAGACACCAUGACAGAUUGUAUCACAGACUAUAUAAACUUCUGUGUUGAGAACACCGUACCCACCAGGAAAGUACGGUGUUUCUCCAACAGCAAACCUUGGGUGACCCCGGAACUUAAAGUCCUCCAGACUCCUGAAGGACUGUGCAGACCAGCUCUGUGAGGUGCUACUGCACAUCUUCAGCUUGAGCCUGAGUCUGGAGAGGGUCCCAGCACUGUGGAAGACUUCCUGCGUGAUUCCUGUCCCCAAGACAGCACACCCCAGGGAGCCCAACCACUUCAGACCUGUGGCCCUCACUUCUCACCUGAUGAACACUCUGGAUAGGAUCGUGCUGAGGGACCUCCGCCUCCUGGUGAGCUCUCAUCUGGAUCCUCUGCAGUUUGCGUACCAGCCGAACAUCGGAGUGGACAACGCUGUCAUCUACCUGCUGCAGAGGUCCAUGGCUCACUUGGAGAACACCGGCAGCACUGUGAGGGUCAUGUUUUUUGACUUCUCCAGUGCUUUCAACACCAUCCGGCCUUCACUGCUCAGGGGGAAGCUCGAGAGGGCGGGAGUGGACUGUCACCUAGCCGCAUGGACCGUGGACUACCUCACCAACAGACCACAGUUUGUGAGGCUUCAGAACUGUGUGACGGACAUGGUGGUCUGCAGCACGGGGGCUCCACAGGGGACAGUGCUCUCCCCCUUCCUCUUCACCCUGUACACCUCGGACUUCAGCUACAACUCUGGGAGCUGUCACCUCCAGAAAUUCUCCGAUGACACAGCCAUCGUCGGAUGUGUAUCGUCAGGGGAUGAGCGGGAAUACAGGACUGUCAUCACUGACUUUGUCAACAGGUGUGGCACAAACCACCUCCAGCUAAACAUCAGCAAGACAAAGGACAUGGUCAAGGAUUUCUACAGGAGGAGGACACCUUAGACUGUUCCACUGAACAUCCAGGGUCUGGACAUCGAGAUGGUGGAGUCCUACAGAUUCCUGGGUGUCCACCUCAACAAUAAAGUGGACUGGUCAACAAACACAGACGUCUUGUACAAGAAGGACUCCCUGGAGGAGGUGAGUGAGAGGAGGAUGUUAGCAAAGCUUGUAUCCAUCAUGGAUAAUCCCUCUAACCCACUGCACCAGACUGUGGGGGCUUCAAGCAGCUCCUUCAGCAGCAGACUCCCACCUUGCAAGAUGGAGCGCUACCGCAGAUCGAAAAACAAGACUUUACAACGAACCGUAAUAAAACUUGACUUUUUUCUGGCAUUUAAAUUGUGUAUAUUGUAUAUAGUUUUAUUUUUCUUCUCCCCUUUUCCUUUUCUAAUUUUUUUCUUAAUUAGAACAUUUAUUUAAGUUCUUAAUAUACAAUCUUUAUUUUUAUAACUGCAUUUUUGCACUUUGUUAUGCUGCUGUGACAAAAAAAAAAAAAUCCCCAGGGGGGAUCAAUAAAGGAAUAUUCUAUUCUAGUCUAUUCUAUCUGUGUGUCGUCUGCAUAGCAGUGAAAGGAGACUUUGUGGCACCGAAUUAAUUGGCCGAGGGGCAGCAUGUUGAUAGAAAAUAAAAUUGGACCUAAAACUGAACCUUGCGGUACACCACAGGCAAUAGCAGAGGUAGAGGAGGUGUGAUUACCUAUGGUGACCGCAAAGGUUCGCUCUAAAGAUACGACUGAAACCAGCUAAGUGCAGUGCCCCUGAUACCCACCCAGUUUUUAAGACGCUCAAUUAAAAUAGCAUGAUUAACUGUAUCAAAAGCUGCACUGAGAUCUAAAAGAAUUAAAAUUGAGCCCUCCCCUCUAUCUGCUGCUAAAAGAAGGUCAUUGGUCACACUGAGGAGGGCAGUCUCAGUGCUGUGACCUGCUCUAAAACCAGACUGAAAUUUCUCAAAGAGGUUACAUUCAGACAUAAAGCCUAAAAGCUGUUUAGAAACCACCUUCUCUAAAAGUUUGGAUGAAAAUGAAAGUUUUAAGAUUGGUCUAAAAUUGUUAAAAUCAGGGGGUCAAGGUUUGGCUUCUUUAAAGGGGUUGGACCACAGUGUGUUUAAAAUCAGAGGGAAAUACUCCCUCUGCCAGAGAGCCAUUAAUAAUGGAUAAAAUCCUAGGCCCAACCAUGUUAAAAACCUCUUUGAGAAAUCUGGUGGAGAUAAAUUCAAGACUGCACAUAGCUGGUUUUAUGUGGGCUAAAAUAUCAGAUAAAAAGGGUAAGGACACUGGUUCAAAGCUGCUAAAAUAUUGCAGAACUUCCCCACUUAAGAAUACAGGGAGACUGGGAGGGGUGAUUUGAUGCCUGAUGUCCAUGACCUUGUUAAUAAAAUGAGUUAAAAACUUCUCGCAGGUGUCUUGGGAAGCAUCAGUAAAAUAAGAGGGGGAACUGUUGGAAAGUGACUCUAAAACCUUAAAUAAAACUCUGGGGUUCAAAUAAUUAGCUAAAAUCAAAUUUGAGUAAAAUGCUGCCCUUGCAUCCUUAACUGCCUUCUGGUAAUUUUUCAUGGAGUCUCUCCAGAUUUCAACCACCAGACCAGUUUUCUUCCAUUUACGUUCAUUUCUUCGAUAUGCUCUCUUUAGUUCAUGUGUGGACUCUGUAAGCCAGGGCUGGGUUUUUUUGUUUGAUUUUUUUCUUUUUCAGAGGAGCUACAGAGUCCAGUAUGGUUCCACACAUAUUGUUAAAAAGAGAGACAAGCUCUUUAGUGUUUAAAACUGGAUUAAAAUCUGGGUUGAAGGCAGUUAAAGAUGCAGAGAUAAAGAGCUCCAAAAACUUGCAAGCAGAUGUUGCUUUACAAACCCUUCUAUAAACAGGAGUAUGAUCAGUAAAAGAAGGCUGGGAUAAACCAUGGAGAUUAAAACAUGUUUGUGAUGUGACACAGAGAUAUCCUUUGUUAAAAACUUCCAAGGACUCAGUCCAGUAAAUAAAACCAAAUCUUGGCAAUGUCUCUUUACAUGAGUUGGUUCCUGUAUUGCCUGGGUAAGAUUGAAGGAGUCCAGAGUUUCAAUAAAAUCAACAGUCAAGGGUUGUGAGGGACAACAGACAUGUACAUUAAAAUCACCCAAAUAAGAAUUUUGUCGUAUUUACAAAUAAAAAAGAAAAGAAACUCUGAAAACUCCUGAAUAAAAACAGCAUUAUGUUCGGUGUGGUCGGUAAUUGAUUAUGAUUAAAACAGGAUCUUUCAAUUUCACAACAAAAGCAAGGUGCGCAAAUGAACUAAAAGUGCUGAAGGUGAUGGGGGUGCAUUUAAAAUCCUUCUUGAAUAUGACAGCCACCCUCCCACCCCGGCCUGACUGCCGGGGCUAGUGGUGUGUUGGUCAUGAACGAACGGAUCAAAAUAACUAGUUCUUUUUGGUGAACGAAAUGAACCAGGUCACCCCCCCCCCCCCCCCAAAUGACCCGUUCAGUCCGUUCAGUUCUUUUGAUUGGCUGAAGAGUCAGUUCACUGGUCCUGAGGGCGGGACUAUCUCUGUGCUUGCCUGUCUUAUCCUAUCGUCGCGCCUCGCUCUGUGGGUGGAUGGGGCUUAGAGAAGCAGCAGCAGUCAGCUCAGUCAGUACUGAGCUGACUG